UUGUGCGGCGAGUGACCGGGAUGAGCUCAAAUUUGAAAUCUGGCGUCUUUCAGGCGUCCGAGUUGUAAUCUAUAGAGGCGUUUUCCGCGCCGGACCGCGUCCAAGUCUCUUGGAAUAGAGUAUCAAAGAGGGUGACAAUCCCGUACUUGACGCGACAACCGGUGCUCUGUGAUACGUUCUCAACGAGUCGAGUUGUUUGGGAAUGCAGCUCUAAAUGGGUGGUAAAUUCCAUCUAAGGCUAAAUAUUGGCGAGAGACCGAUAGCGAACAAGUACCGUGAGGGAAAGAUGAAAAGCACUUUGGAAAGAGAGUUAAACAGCACGUGAAAUUGUUAAAAGGGAAACGAUUGAAGUCAGUCGUGUGAAAGGUAUUCAGCCGUCUCUGGCGGUGUAUUUGCCUUUCACGGGUCAACAUCAGUUUAGUCCGGUAGAAAAAGGCUGGAGGAAGGUGGCACCCUCGGGUGUGUUAUAGCCUCCUGUCACAUGUGCCGGAUUAGACUGAGGAACGCAGCUUGCCGCAAGGCCGGGGUUCGCCCACGUACAAGCUUAGGAUGUUGACAUAAUGGCUUUAAACGACCCGUCUUGAAACAACGG
rnacentral:rRNA from 1 species